CAGAGACUGCUCUUUAGGGAGGAGAAAAGAGUAAUAAGAAGAUGAUUUUACACACUAAAGGACAUGAAGAAAAUGAGCAGGCUGUGUGACAGGGAGGGGACUGAAUGUGGUAUGGAGGUCAAGGAAGCCCUCUCUAAACAGAUGACACUUGGAGCCUGAAGGAUAAAAAAGAUGCCAUCUUUGGGCAAAACCCAGCUGCCAUGCCAUGGGAAGCCCAUACCACCUUGAGAGACCCAGUGAAGGUGGAGUCAAGUCAACAGCCCGGCCAGAACAGCUGAGAAGCCCUGGAUCAAGGGGAGCCAUCCACAGGCUCUGGAAUGAAGUCAAAUGGAGCAUCCUGAACCCAACCAGAAGCCUACCCCAGCCAAGCCCAGGCAAGCCUACUCAAGAUCAGCCAACUACAGCAGACCUCCUGCCUCAGGGGUAUGAAAUAAAG